rnacentral:rRNA from 1 species
GUUGUCCGGAUUUACUGGGCGUAAAGAGCGCGCAGGCGGUCGUUCAAGUCGAGUGUGAAAGCCCCCGGCUCAACUGGGGAGGGUCACUCGAUACUGAUCGACUUGAAGGCAGGAGAGGGAAGCGGAAUUCCCGGUGUAGUGGUGAAAUACGUAGAGAUUGGGAAGAACACCAGUGGCGAAGGCGGCUAUCUGGACGGUUUCUGACGCUAAGACGCGAAAGCGUGGGGAGCAAACAGG